UAUUUUUUUAUUAAUUAUUUUUUUUUAUUAAAGUUUUAUUUUUUUUAUUGUAACAAAAAUUUCUUGAUUUGAUAGACGAAAGUACCGUGAGGGGCUUAUAUAAAUAGAAAAUUAGAAUAAAUUUUUAGUACCUUUUGUAUCAGGGUUUAUUAAAAAUUAGGAUGUUUUUUUAAUUCCCGAUUCUUUAAGAUUUAAUUUUUUAUUAAUUUUAAUGUGGAAAAAUUAUUUUUAAUAAUUAAUUGGAAGUGAAAUGCUAUUCGUUUAAGGGGGUAUCUGGUUUUUGGAGAACUAAAUUUAAUUUAUCUUACCCAAAUUAAUUUAAUAAGUAGUAUUUAAUUUUAAUGGGUAAAGAAAAAUCUUUGGGGAUGAGCUUAAUGAUUAAAUUUUAAAAUUAUAUUUUUAAGUAAAUUUUGUAGGGUUAGAAAUUCUCAUUUUAAUUUGUUAUAAUAAUUUUUACAGAAUUAAGAUUUAUUUUUUAUUUAAUUUUUUUAUCCAAAAAUUUUUAUAAAUUAAUUUAAAAAAUUAAAAUGUUAAAAUUAGUAAAAAUAUUCUUUAAGAAAUAUUUUCCUAUAAAGAUAAUUUUAAGGAACUCGGCAAUUUAUUUUUCGCCUGUUUAUUAAAAACAUGUCCUCUUGAUUUUAAUUUGAGGUCUAAUCUGCCCUAUGAUUUUUUAAUGGCUGCAGUAUUUUGACUGUACAAAGGUAGCAUAAUAAUUAGGCUUUUAAUUGGGGUCUGGAAUGAAUGAUUUAACGAAAAAAUAUCUGUCUCACAAUUAAAUUUUUUAAUUUUAUUUUUAGGUUAAAAAGCCUAAAUUUUAUUUAAAGACGAGAAGACCCCAUAGAGUUUUAUUUUUUAGGUUAUUAAAUUUUUAGAAGUUAAAUUUUAAUAUACUGAAGAAAAUUUAGUUGGGGUGACUAAAAAAUUUGAAAAACUUUUUUUAAUUGUAUUCAUAAAUUAAUGUUUUUUUGAUCCUAUAUUUAGAUUAAAAGAAUUAAUUACCUUGGGGAUAACAGCGUUAUUCUUCUUUAGAGUUCUAAUCGAGAGAAGGGGUUGCGACCUCGAUGUUGGAUUAAAUUUUGCUGUUGGUGUAGGCGCUAAUGUGCUUGGUCUGUUCGACCAUUAAAAAUUUACAUGAUCUGAGUUUAGACCGGCGUGAGCCAGGUUAGUUUCUAUCUUAAAUUUUUUAAAAUAGUUUAGUACGAAAGGACCAUUUAUU
rnacentral:rRNA from 1 species